UCUGAUGUACUUCAAUGGUAGAAGGCUGCUCUCAUAAGGCAGUAGUUAGUAGUUCGAGUCCACUCAUCAGAA
rnacentral:tRNA from 1 species